ACUUAACUAAAUAUAGUGAUUAAUGAUUAUCUUUGUUUUGUACUAUUGCAGGCCCCUCCUCGCCAAAAAGAAAAAGAGGUCGUACUCAAAUGCCAAGUGUUCAUGUUAGAAAAGAGCGUAAAAUAAUCACUCUAAAUGAGUUUAAUCAACCCAUUGGUCCUACUAAAGAGGUUGUAAAAGAGUUGGGUAGCUUCCUCGGCACAUUGGCAAGGAGUGGGACUUUUGUCCUCUUAAUGUAGUUAAUUGGAGGAAACUAGACACAAAAGAUGAUAUGUGGAAAUAUAUCAAUGAAAAAUAUGACAUUCCUGACGAGGCAAAAAAUGGACUUUUGAAUCAGUUUGUAGUGCUUGGAGAAAGUAUAAGAGUCAAUUAAGACAACCCACUUCACAGCCUAUGAGAAUGAUGAGCUUCGAAUGGAGAAUAGACCAGUAGAUGUUCCAGAAUCUCACUUUAAGGAUCUUUUUAACUAUUGGAACUCCGAUCCUCACAAGAAAAUGUCCGAAACCAAUACAUAGAAUCGAAAUAAGUUGAAGUGUCCACACACAGCUGGCAGAACACCUUUUGGUCUAAUUCGCGAGGAAAAAAAGAAGGAAAUCUCUGAUACUUCAGAUACUGUAUCAAGUAAGGACAUGUUUGUGGCUACAAGAAAAAGAAAACUUGGCCGAGUAUACAAAAGCUCAUAUGACAAUACGAUUAGUAAAAUUGCUGAAAUAGAGAGAAUACAAUCUACUCAGGAAAGUGAAGAUGUCAGUCAUUCAAUUGAUGCUUUUGCAUCAGUCAUGGGACCUGAACAUCCAAGGUCGCGUGAGAUUGUAUGGACGAGGGGUUACCAAGACUGUGUUAAAAGGGCAAAAAGGGAAUCUUGGAUCUUCUGAUGAGAGGAUGCAACAAAAAAUGGAGGAAAUGGAAGAGAGGAUGCAACAAAGAAUGCAUGAAAAGUUGAACGAAUAAAAGGAUGCUAUGGAACAAAAUAUUACAAUGAACAUCAUCGCACAACUUCAGCAUCUGAACCCAGAUUUGCGACUUGAUCCUGACAUGUUAAGGUUCAGUGAUCGUUCACCUGUAGAUGCUUCCUCUGCACAACAAGCUGCUAUUCAACUAAACAGUCGACCAUCUGUUGGUAGUAACAAUCAAGGUGGAGUAGAUCAAGAAAUGAAUGAUGAAGACGAUGAAGAACUAGACCUUACUUGAAAUGAAUUUUGUAUUUUUAUAGAUGAAUUUUCUAGGAAUCUUUUGUUACCAACAUUUUUGAAACUUAUUUACUCUUAUGAAAUGUACUAAACUUAUGCACUCAUGGGGUAGAACAUUUGCUUUAUGGAUAA